GCCGGUGUAGCUCAGUGGUAGAGCAGCUGAUUUGUAAUCAGCUGGUCGGGGGUUCAAGUCCCUUCGCCGGCU
rnacentral:tRNA from 1 species